CAAAGGGGAAACAACCUCUCUCUUAAGAGGUAUAUGAAGGAGAGCUUCUGAGUUGAAAACCCAAUGCAGUCACAUGUCUAUGAGAAUGGGAAACAUAGCAAAAGAAAUGAGGACAGACAAAGAAAAGCAGAAGAAAGCAGAAUGGGAAGUACAUCUUCACUGUAGAUCUUUGUCCUAUAUCUUUUACAUUUCAAACUUUCCUCUAUCAUGAAGAGAGAUGGUAGAUGAUAGACUAUGGAUAUCCACACAGAUAGAUACAUGGUAGACAUUCAGCUAAGUAAGUUUACAACAAAUCCAUUAUAAUAGCCUGUACAAUUCCAUUUCCUGCUGCUAACUAGAUACAUAUAGCUGUGGUUUUACCAAUAAAGGAGGUUUAUUAUCUCACUAUUCUAGAGGAUGAAACUCCAAGAUUGGGUAGUUUCUCUGUUUAGCCUUUGAAGAGGGACCUCUUGUCUUCUUUUCAACAUUCUUGAAGACAUCAUGAGAGGAACACAGCAAGAAAGGAGGAUCUCACCAUGAGACAGAAAGUCAGAGACUAGAGAACUGGCUCCCUCUUUUAUGAAACCUUGCUCUAGUGAGAACUGACAUUGGAAGUGCAACUUUAAUCCAUUUAAAAGAUGCUGCCUACAAAGACUUAAUUUCUUCCCACUAAUCUGCCUCCCUCUUACAGCUCCCAUUGCAUCAGUACCACUAUACCAAGGACCAGACUUCAAUCACAUAACCUUCAGACAAAUCACUCAAAUCUUACCACUGCUCUAAGCAGUUUCUAUUAGGAGAUUAUCUUAAAGUUUUUCAAUUUUUUCCCCAAGAAUUAUACCUUUGUCCCUCUUAGCCUACAUGUAUCAGUACACUUCUUCACUGCAUCUUACCCCGGGAGAGAACUUUCUGAUCUCAAUGUGUCACUCCCAGUAUUUUGUAGUUCUUUAUUACACCUCCCAAAGUUUCCAUCCUAUAACUCAAUUCUAGUUCAGUCAUCACUAUAGAAAUACAGAACAUUAUACGACUAUGUGAAUAUAUCUAUUUCUCAGCUGUCCUUCAACAAAUUUACAUUGACAUUCCACUUUAUAAGAUGCUUAAAUUCUCCCAUCGCUUCCCCAGUUGCUGGCCAGCAGAGAAGACUCCUGUGGGCAGGCUUCUCCACCAAAACACACCAUCGGACCCUCCAAUCUACAAGACCCACACCCUACUGCAAACAUACCUAUCCCCCUGCGACCCCAGUGGUUUCCAGAGACAGGGAAUCCACCAGCUGUCAUUGGAACAAGAGAAUGAAGGUUGAAGAGCAGUCAUUUCAAUUCUGUUUCAGUCACUUAAGAAGACGAUGGGCUGUGACACUGCCAAACUGAACAGGCCCUGCAACGUCAAGUUAUGUCAGGGAUGGGUCCUUCAAUGAAUCUGUAAUGGCUCUACCAGGCUAAGAUUAUUGUAACGAUGACCAAGUUGCCUCCAGUUGGAGCCUAGUUGCACUUUUCACCGAGUAACUCAACCAGCCAAUGCAGGAGCUGCUCUUUGUGUUGCUGAAGAGAACAGAAGAGUUCAUGCUCCAGGGAUGGCUUCUGCUCCCACUUAAUCAUCUUUGCUUGGACCAGCAUAUUUCUCCUGUGUUUAUCUUUGAUUCUUGGGAAAAAUUAUAUCACCCACAUCUUCAAGAGCUGAUUAAGAGGAGAAGGAGACAUCAACUUGUCAUAGCCAGGCUAGCAGUCUUUAGCUUAACUUUCUAGUGCAUAAGCUCCUUAGAGAAAUGAAGCUUCACUAUGGGGUCCCUGUUUGCUCUUACAUCAUUCUACUCUGCCACCUCAGAGACUCCAAUGUACUUUAACGACAUACCCAUAUGUUAACAUUUUAUUAAAAUCCACUAUUCAAUGUAUCCUAAGCAUUGUGCAUCCUGGAAGCAGAUGUUUUAUUUCCCUGGCUGUCUGCAGCCGAACAAUGUUGGCUGAGCAAUAAUUACCCAAAAGCAAAUAAUGAAUGAAUAGCUGAAAAAAUAAUGAGGCAGAGUGUAGAAGCCAAACGCUGCUGCAGGUGAUUCAGUACUAGAGAAGCUGCUUUGGACUAAGUACUGAACAGGGAAUAACUGAACUAAUUUGGGCAAUAACAGUAGAAAAAGCAGAUAAAUACAGAAAAGAUUUCUCCAAAUAUCCCACUCUAUGUUUGAUGGGAAUGUAUGUGGAUAUCAUAUAUUCAAUAAGGCUCUUAAUAUAUGAAAGACUACAUAACUCAGAUUUUACCACACUCAUUGGAAAUUAGUCCAUAAAUACUAACAAAUUAGCACAUGCUGAGAACUUUAUAAAUUCCGUAAGAAUUACUAAAGAUUUGCAAAUCAAGGAUGUCAUGAAUAUACAGACAAGAUAGUGAUGUUAUACAUUAACAUUUGAGUACACGUACAUUUGGAAUCUAAUGAGGUCUAAACUCAUCAGUAUUUACUAUGAUGAGUAAAGAUUCAAUCUCAUUGUCAACAGGACCUCAGCCAAAACUACCAAGAGAGAAAAGUCUGCAUUCCUAAAUUUAUGUCAUGAAACUUAAUGUGCUGGGAGUUAGAGACUGAGUAUUUUACUGUGAUAUUAAGUUGAGCAAAUUAUAUUUUUCAAGUGCAAGAUAGAUUGCUGAAUAGACAUUCAGGAAGCAAUUGUUUACUAUAAUACUAUUGGCAUAUUGCUGAUUUUUCUUUUUGAAAUUCACAAUUUUAGAUGAAUACAAAAUUUAAACUUUACAUUGUUUAUCAGUUUCUCAUAUUUAACCACAUCACAACUAUUAUGACUAGUUCAGGGAGAUUUUUAUUUUCCCAUACAUCACCUAAAACACAUUAUAAAUAUUUCAACUAUAAUUCCAUUCUAAUGAGCUAUUAUUUUUUCCACAGUUUAUAUCAUAAAAGUGAUAUGGGUAUAAUAUGUUAACUUUUGUAUGUAAUGUAGAUUGUGGAGCUAAAAUUUUAAGAAAAAAAAUGCAUCAGAUUUUUCUCAAGCAUAAAAGGUGAUUUUAAUUUAGUUUAUUUUCAGUUUUUGUGUGGAGAAUUAAAUUCCUUUUUUUUUUGUGUAAAGCAAGUGACACAGAUCCAAAUGAUUGGUUUUGAAUUUGCCUUUGUACUACAGUAUCCUCAGUUGCCAAAUUUACCUAUCUUGCAAUGAAUUAUUCACAGGUCUGUGACAGCAAAACUCUAACAAAUUUCAAAAUUAAAUUUUAAUUAAUUGCAUUACAAAUGGAAAAAAAUAGUCUACAUACAAGUCAAAAAACACAAAAUCAAAGAAUUUUCCGAGAAUGAACAUACAUUACUAGCACUAGCACUCACAUUAGCUAACAGAACAUUCUUCACAUACCAAGUCCUCCUUUCAACCACUUCAACAGCUAAACUCAAUCUCUUCUAUAAACAUGACAAUACAGAACAAAUGUGCUUUAAGAGACAAGUUUCUGGGUUGGAGAGGUGGCUCAGCAGUUCAUAGUACUUGUUGCUGUUACAGAGGACCAGGGUAUAGUUCUUAGCCCUCAUAUAGUGGUGCACACUCAUCUUUCACUCAAAUUUCAGUGGGAUUCCAUUCCCUUUUAUGACCUUCUCAGCCACCAGCAUACACAUGGCACAUAGACAUACAUGUAAGAAAAACACCAACAUGCAUAAAGUGAAAAUAAAUAAACCAAAACUAAAUUUAAACAGGAUUCAAAGAUAAUUAUCAUUUUUAUUAAAGACAUGAUAAUUCCCCCCAAAUAUUUGCCUGUAUUUAUUAGUCUUCUUUCAUAAUUAUCAUAUAAACUCACCAUUCUGCACAUUAAUAUUGUGUUUACUGAUUUAUCAACCUAAAGUGUUUUUAUGUCUUAUAAUAUCUCUAUAUAUUCAUGAUAUCUUAAUUAUGCUUAGCAAUCUACCUGAAGUCUUCACAUUAAAAAAUGCAUAUAUCUAUACUGUCUGGUGUAUCUACAAAGAGAGAAAAUGGGCUCAGCUAUGUAUACAUAACAUACACAUAACAUAAACCUAUAAUACCUACAUACAAUGAUAACAUUGAAGAAGAGUUUAUGGAUUUGAGAUUAUUUCAUUUUAUAAACAGCUAAUUAUUUAAGAUUUUAUUAGUUUUCAUGGCUUCAAUUACUCCUGUGUGAGUGAACACAGUGGUAUCGUGUGUAGUAUGUAUAAGACCUAAGCAAACACUCUACCACUGAACUACAUUCUAAAACUUCAAAAUAUUUUUCUAAUCUGAACCAUUUAUUUUUAGGGAAAAUAUGAUGGAAUCAACAAAUAAUAUAUUUUAGGAACAACAUUUUGCAUCUCUCCUGGCACUUUAUUUUGGCCUAUGCAGUGUGCCAACAUUUCAAUAAAAUACUGAAGGUUGAAAAAAAUAGAACAGCAGCCUAAAGACCAGAGGCAACUCUUGGGUUAAGUGUUGCUUAUGCAGAUUAUGUAAGUAUUCAUUUAUGUAAAUAUUUUGGGGCAUGUACAAGUGUGUGUGUGCAUGCACAUCAGCCAGAUGUUGGAAAAGUCUUUUGAUUUGUCAUGAGAUAUAAAAACAAAGCCCAGAUAGAACUUGUGUGGUGUUCAAUGGUUACAGUUUGGCUUCACAUGGGUACACAAAUUUUCACAAUGGAGAUUUAUUAUAGGAUUUAUCAACAUUUUUAAUGGUUCAAAUGAUGCUACAGUUUGGUUGUGAGUUCUUAAGCAUAUAUUAUCUGGUAUAGUGUUUGGUGACAUGCAAACAUUAUAGCACUCCGAUAGAUACUUGACAUAUAUAUAAUAAUUUACUGAUGAUCCAUACCAGGGGUAACAUGUAAUGUUCAGCACAACAACAUAAGAAUUUCCUACUAUAUCUAUCAGGAGUUAUCAUAAUCUAUUUCAGAAAAAUGAAGUAUAGACUACAUCAGGAAAAAUGAAAAUGAAAGUAAAUUCCAGAACUUAGUUCUAGAAGGAAAUUCACAUGCACAUGAUAUAUCUGAUAUAAAGAAGAGCAACUUACAAAGAACAAUGACCAUGAUAAAUUCACUAGUAAUGUACAAGACAGAUAAGAUUGUGUUUAAUGUGAAUAACUUUCCCAUGGAUAAGAAUGUUAUUAUGUACAGAGAAAGUUUUCCAA